rnacentral:rRNA from 1 species
AGAAUCAACGCUGGCGGCGUGCCUAACACAUGCAAGUCGUACGAGAAAGGGGAGUAAUCCCUGAGUACAGUGGCGCACGGGUGAGUAACACGUGAAUAAUCUACCUCCGAGUGGGGAAUAACUGAGAGAAAUCUUAGCUAAUACCGCAUAACACUUACGAGUCAAAGCAGCAAUGCGCUUGGAGAGGAGUUCGCGGCCGAUUAGUUAGUUGGCGGGGUAAUGGCCCACCAAGACGAUGAUCGGUA